AGAGUUUGAUCAUGGCUCAGGACGAACGCUGGCGGCGCGCCUAACACAUGCAAGUCGAGCGAGAACCUGGGCUUCGGCCCAGGGGAAAGCGGCGAACGGGUGAGUAACACGUGGGUAACCUGCCCUCGGCACCGGGAUAGCCCGGGGAAACCCGGAUUAAUACCGGACAGCCUCAUAAACCUUCGGGUGAAUGAGAAAAGGUGGCUUCGGCUUCCGGCUGAGGAUGGGCCCGCGGCCGAUUAGCUUGUUGGUGGGGUAACGGCUCACCAAGGCUCCGAUCGGUAGCUGGUCUGAGAGGACGAUCAGCCACACUGGGACUGAGACACGGCCCAGACUCCUACGGGAGGCAGCAGUGGGGAAUCUUGCGCAAUGGGCGAAAGCCUGACGCAGCGACGCCGCGUGCGGGAAGAAGGCCUUCGGGUUGUAAACCGCUUUCAGGAGGGACGAGGCCACUCGAGUUAAUAGCUCAGAGGGUGACGGUACCUCCAGAAGAAGCCCCGGCUAACUACGUGCCAGCAGCCGCGGUA
rnacentral:rRNA from 1 species